GGAGUGUAGCUCAGUGGCAGAGUGCUUACCUAGCAUGUGCAAGGGUGUGGGUUCAAUCCCCAGUAAACCCCA
rnacentral:tRNA from 1 species